AUGAUUGUGAAGGUAAUAGAUGGCAGAUGGGAGGUGAUCUACUUUGUUAGCGAGCACAACCAUCCGUUGAUUGACAAGCCAUGUUUGACUAAGUAUUUGCGAUCACACCAAGGGAUACCACCAGAAGAAAAGGCCUUCCUUACUCACCUUCAUAACUGCAAAUUAACUACAUGUCAUAUGAUGCACAUCAUGUCAGAUUUCCAUGGGACAGAACUCAUUGUACCUUAUAGCACAAAGCACAUUACAAACCUCAAGACGCUCUUAAACAAGGAUGAUACAAAAGAAGGGGAUAUGAUAGAGACAUUUGCUUACUUUAAAGAUCAGCAG
rnacentral:rRNA from 1 species